AGUGAACGCUGGCGGUAGGCCUAACACAUGCAAGUCGAACGGCAGCACAGUAAGAGCUUGCUCUUACGGGUGGCGAGUGGCGGACGGGUGAGGAAUACAUCGGAAUCUACUUUUUCGUGGGGGAUAACGUAGGGAAACUUACGCUAAUACCGCAUACGACCUACGGGUGAAAGCAGGGGAUCUUCGGACCUUGCGCGAUUGAAUGAGCCGAUGUCGGAUUAGCUAGUUGGCGGGGUAAAGGCCCACCAAGGCGACGAUCCGUAGCUGGUCUGAGAGGAUGAUCAGCCACACUGGAACUGAGACACGGUCCAGACUCCUACGGGAGGCAGCAGAGGGGAAUAUUGGACAAUGGGCGCAAGCCUGAUCCAGCCAUACCGCGUGGGUGAAGAAGGCCUUCGGGUUUUAAAGCCCUUUUGUUGGGAAAGAAAAGCAGCAGGUUAAUACCCCGCUGUUCUGACGGUACCCAAAGAAUAAGCACCGGCUAACUUCGUG
rnacentral:rRNA from 1 species